UGGAAUCGCUAGUAAUCGCAGGUCAGCAUACUGCGGUGAAUACGUUCCCGGGUCUUGUACACACCGCCCGUCACACCAUGGGAGUCGGGAAUGCCCGAAGUCAGUGACCCAACCUAUUGGAGGGAGCUGCCGAAGGCAGGUCUGAUAACUGGGGUGAAGUCGUAACAAGGUAAC
rnacentral:rRNA from 1 species